rnacentral:rRNA from 1 species
CUGGACCUCGGAUCAGGCCAGGCUACCCGCUGAAUUUAAGCAUAUUAAUAAGCGGAGGAAAAGAAACUAACAAGGAUUCCCCCAGUAACGGCGAGCGAAGCGGGAACAGCUCAAAUUUGAAAUCUCCGGUGCUUGCACCGGCGAAUUGUAGUCUGUAGGGCCAGUUUCGCCCGAGACAGCGUCCCCAAAGUCGUCCUGGAAAGGCGAGCCGGAGAGGGUGAGAGCCCCGUACGCGGGGGCGCUGUCGAGGGUAAGAUCUGUGCCCGAAGAGUCGGGUUGUUUGGGAUUGCAGCCCAAAAUGGGUGGUAAACUCCAUCUAAAGCUAAAUACCGGCACGAGACCGAUAGCG